GUUCUUGUAACUUAGUUGGUUAAAGUGCUUGCUUAGUUAGCGGAGGUCUUGAGUUCGACUCUCAAAAAGAGUA
rnacentral:tRNA from 1 species